UUUUAAAAGGAAACGUCUUGAGAUACAUGAUCCAGGGACCGAUGCCAGGAUCAUGUAUUGUUGUCCAGAAUGGCCACAGGACAUGCUACGCAUGAGAUGUGCCAUAGGUGAGUCCUUUCUCGCCAAGAAGGAUGAAGCUUGGAUCAUCAUCACACACCACAAUGUCUACAGCCUACUGUCAUUGUCAACAUCCCAGCAUAUCACAGUAGACCAAAGGUGACACUUUGUGGGCAGUAAAAAUUAUAGGGAUGGAUGGCGAAGGCUUCUUUCCAUACAGCAACAACAACAGCAACAACCCAGACCAGGGCACAUACCUGAGAGGGAGAUUAGGGUUUAGGAGGUGGAGCAGGACUUUGAGAUGACAUGGCUAUAUUUAACCCAGUGCCCAGUGAAUGAUUGGUAUAAAUAGCUAACAGGAAGAUCUCCAGGUUGCAGAUUUACAGUAAAGGCAACAAUAUAAAAGGAAUAUAUUUUAUAGGAUUGGUCUUAUUGGUAUUUUUGAAACAGUAUUUAUGUCUACUAAAGUGUUGAUCUUGGUGUUGCAUCUUGUAGCACCAGUAGCAGGGGCGGAACCUGGCUUUAACCCAGUCCACUGGUAAACCCUCACACCAUUAGCCUACUGCUUCUGUUCCAUGUGUUUUACGUUGUGCUGGGUUGUUAAGUCUGGGGAUCUACUGACUGAGAGGAGACCAGAUCGUCACCUCUCUCAUCAAUACUCCUGCAUGUACCAUGUCUCCUCAGAGAACACAUGCUUUGAUCAGACAGAUCCCUUACAUAUCCUUGCUGCUGGCAGAGAGAGAGACGCAGUCCGGAGAUAAAGCUGAUUCUUUUACCGAUAGUCUCCUUCCCUUCCCACCAUGGUAAGAUGAACCCAAGGAGUGAAUGUUGAAGUGAACGCUCUCCCUCUCUUUCUCUCUCUUUAUCUCUAUCUGAACCUGAAAUGGGUCAAUGCAACAUACUGUCCUUACAAUAUGUAAUUGACUGUGUAUUGUUCAACUGUUCCUUGAUUGUCAGCCAUUUAUUAUCAUGUUAUUACUGUAUCAUCUUCAUCCAAGUCAAAGGUUGCUUAUUCAAUGCUCAGCCCAGUUGUGUUGGAGUGGUCAAACGUGAAAGAAAUCAAAUUACUUUACACUUAGUGGUCUCUAAGACAAAGCUUCCUUUACAGCCCAGAUAACAAAAGUGAGUUUCUACUCCGCGAGAGCUGUAGAUAGACGUGAUGUGGUAAGCCUUGUGGUGUGUAGCUAAACCUAAUGACGGUUAUUCAGCCCUGCCUAUGUCUGGUGGUAAGGGGUUCUCAUUGUAAUUCUCCAGCCAUAGCUAACACCAGCACACACAGACACUCCCCACAAUAACAGAAAUGACGAUCGUCACAACAGGCGAAAUUGGACAAUGAUUACAGGACUUUCUUUAAAAGGUACACUUUGAACAUCACAUUUUCCAGGUCCUCAGUCAUCUUCUGCUGCACCGAUUGUUCCCAUGAUUGCAGUAGGUCUGUUUUGAAUAUUGAUGUUGUAAUAUCUUGAUGGUUCCUUGUUGGCCCACUUUCAUCUCCUAUAAACGAGAUGCUACUGUAUGUAAGAGGCUUAUGUACCUCUCUGUUUUGGUUUUUCUCUUGUUUGUCUGAUGAUGUGCCUUUUAAAACAAGUGGCUAGUCAGGUGACAAAGGAGAGGAGGCUCGUCUCUGUCAGCUUAGCUCUCAGCUGAGAGAGAGAGAGACCCAAUUGAAAGGGGACACGGGGGAAAAUGGGGACACAGGAUCCGUCACGGUCAGAGAGAAAUGGGUGGACAGAGUGGGAGGUGGCAACAAGGUCUCUUUAACUGCAGCCCUAGCUAGCUGUGCUCAGCUGUCUGUUUGGCAGCCAGCAGUGUGUUGCUGGGUCGAGUCGUUCAAGAAGCUGCUGCCUGCGUUAGUGUAUGUAGCCACAACAGUAGCAGCAGAGAAAGCCCUGAAAAUGAGUGCUGCGUCACACCGAUCGAGGAAGAGAAAUAGAGAGUGAUUGUAAACCGUUGUGGCGAGCUGUUUGUGUGUGUGGUCUGAUCUGUUGGCGUAUAUCUGUGUCAAUGCAAAACUAACUGUCUGAAAGAGAAAUUCUGCUGUUGCAACGAGAUGAAAAUAGUGUGCGUGUGUCUGAGGCAGGCAGGGAGGGAGGGAGUCAGAGAGAGAGAUUUUGGAUUAGUUGCUACGUCACUUUUUCACGUCGAGGGGGGAAACAGAAGCUAAGAUAAUAGAAGCCUGCAGUCAUCCAGUUUUCUACCUGAGAGUUGGACGCAAUGGUUACGGCGUGAACCCCUGCCUCCUCAGCCUCAUCCAUAGUGCAUGUUACCUGCUUCUCCCUCAGCCUCUACAUCUGUGUAGUAGUUAGGCUGGGAUCGUCAGAGAAGACUUCCAACAUGGAUGCUGAAGAUGUGACAGUUAGUUAGUGUGGGUGUUUGGUGUUUUGAUGGCAUUGUGAGGUCGGAGUAGGGGGUGGGAAGGAGUGAGGCAAAGGGGUCAUCGAAAGAACGUUCUGGAAGGUUCUUAAUGUCAAGACGACGCACGUUGGGGAGCGUAUUCAGAGAAUUAUCGAGGUAAUCGAAUAUUGCUAUUAUAUGAUUACAUAUAUACAAAUAAAUUAUUACAUACAUUAUUACGUAGAUAUAGAUAUGUGUGAUGUGUUGUCUGUCCUUAUACAAAACCACAUAGUAACCGGUAUGGAGCUAGUCGGCAGUAAUAUGUUGUCAUCAGGAUACCUUUUCUCCCAUAGUAUCUGCUAUAAGGUGCGAACCAGGCGAUACAGUUUGUUCAUAUUGCUACUCAGCAUAUUUGUGUGUUUUUACUUUCAACUUGUUGUGAUUAACUCUUCAUAGGGUCGAAGGCAGGAAGGAGGAUGAGUAAACCGGGAUCGAGUAAACCUGGGCUUAUUUUGUUAUUAGGGAAGCCAACAGGAGACCUAUUUGGAGCCUUUAUCUUGUAGCAGAUCAGUAUUAUCAUGUGAUUUGUUUUCAGUCUCUAGGGCCACUGGCUGGGGUUUAGUGGAAACCCUCCCUGAGACAUUUGUUUCUGCGUAGUUAGUAGAGACCGAAACACUGGUGGUGACGCAGUCCUCUACUGAGCUGUACUUCUACGACAGCAUGGCUGGCCCUGUGUUUUUCUCUCUCUUGUUCUCUCGACCCCAUGUAGCUCUCCCUCUUGUUCUUUCUCUCUCGUUCUCUCUCUCCCUCUUGUUCUCUCUCUCUAUCUCUGGGGGGGGAGUGAGGGAGCAGCAAAUGGGGUCUAAAUGUCAUGGCUCGAGUUCAGAGAGAGAGAAAGAGAGGGAGAGAAAGAGGGAGGGAGGGGGAGACAGAGUGAGAGAGCGAAACAGAGAGGGAGAAAUGUUUUACCUUGCUCUCUUGGUAACUCUGCAUUGGCAGCUCUCCAGUUCACAUUCACUAGACUUCCUAAAGCUGCUGCAUCACAGGCCCCAGUGCCAGAGCUGGCCUCCCAUUGAGUGGGAGGAGCUCCCUAGACUCUGCUGGCAGCACAAUGCUAUUGGAAGAGCACAAGGGAGCCAGGUGGAGGGCAGCUUCUGAUUGAUGGAUACGUUUUUUUAAAGAUGUUGUAUGUUCUAUAGGGGUUCUAAUGAAAUGUGUACAGUUACAGUACAUGGUUUUGUUUUACAUUAUUGUUUCUUAUCUAUGGCACAUUUAGCUUUAUGUACUCUAUAUUAGAAUAUAUUAUAUUAUUGUUUGUCCUAUGCUGAAAGGAGUGGAAACAUUAUGUGCACUGUAGGUAAACACAUGAGUGUGUAUCUGUUUACUAGGUUCCAGUAAUGUCUUGUGUAAUGUGUUCUCAUAGUCUGAUUGGUUUGUAUUCUAUGUUGCUGACAUUGAUCAGCUCCUGUUUGUUUCCUGUGACGCUGGGGGCCAACCACAGCCCACUUCCUGCUCUGUCCAGCUUCUCCUCCCCUUCCCUUCCCAGAGAAGCCAACUUCUCAGUCUCUCAGUAGUGUUUGGUUUGGUUGCUGUAGUACGGUUACCGUCCGUGAGACAGAGGGUUCUGUAAACUGACAUUCUGUGAUGUCACAAACCUGCCACAUUGGCAAUUUCUAAAUUGAUGGAAGAACAACUGUUUGCCAAGGGUCUGCAUUGCAGCUGCUGCCUCUGCAGUUGGCGCCACUCUUUCCCUCUCAGAAACACACGCGCACACACACUCGUAUUCACGAAAUGAAGGCAAUACACACACACACACACACACACACACUGAGUCUGUCUAAUGCCCUCAUCUCUGAGGUUGAGGGUGCCAUAUCCCGGCGGCACCCCAUGGAGAUAAUUUGUUAUAAAUGAGGACGCAACAGGAGAGGGUUAGCCUGCCAGUAUGUGGUGGAUAUAACACACACACACACACACACACACACACAGCAUAUCAUAAGAAGGGCACAGGGAGGACACCCAUACUUUAGUGUGUGUGUCGCUUUCUUUUCUCAUUAAUAGGUAACGUGAUACUGCUUUUUUAAUAGAUAUCUAUUAUCACUUUGUCAUGGUAGAAUGAUUUGAUCCUGAAUGGGUGAAAGUCUUUAAUCUCCAUUAAUAGUCACUUCAGGGUGUAAUAUAAUAUCACUCCUAUGCAUGUGUUCAAACCCCCUGUUUGGAUGGGGUCUACACAGAUUAAGACCACCAUAGUGUGAAAAUAAUUAAAAACAUUGAUUUAGGCUUUAGGCUAUAUACUCUACAUUUGGCUUAUACUUUGGGUUUAAUUUAGUUUUGAUGGUGUUUCUUGAUCAGGGUGAACUGGCUAGAUUGAUUAGAUUGAAAAUAAUGCUGUUGAAAAUGUAUUUAAGCAUAAGUCCAUCUAGGCAAGCCAGUGCUGUCUGUGUUGUUUUGGACUGCACAUGGAAAGGCUCCUGUCCCUUUAACUAUUUUAUAAACAUUACACAAUAGGUCCAGGGAACACAGGCAACAAACAAACCAAAAAAGAAAUCUGCCUGCCAGGGUAGGGUUCAGCCAGGGAGGAACCAGACACCCUACUGAUCAGUCUGACCUGUCACGGUGGCCAAUGAGACAGAGUUCCCAUGACUCACUAGCUAACUCCUGAACAUAUUGUCCAGUCUGUCUAUAGGUCAGAUUGAUAAGGGCAGUAGGGCGCCAGGGUCUUUGCUCUUCCUCUCAUUGUGGAAAUCAAAGCAAAUAUGCAUUUUAAAUAGAAGAAGAAAAAACGGAGGGAAUAUUUUGGCAGGAGCCUUACUUCCCUGACCCUCUUCUAAUCAGUUAAAGUACAAGGAGUGUUUGUGGGCAUUGUCGAAGAGAGGGAGGGGUGUAGCUGAGAGAAUAGAACAGAGAGAGUUAGAUGUUGAAUUACAUAGAGGGUAGAAGGGUAUUUUGGGGGAGAGGUUGGGCAGUUUUGUAUUUCGCCUAGCUAAUCAGUUGGCACCACUGUAAGUCAGUGAGUUGGCCACUGCCUAUUACCACGCCCUUACAUUGUGUCUGCGUCAUGGCUCUCUCCCUGACAGAAUCUACCUGCCACUUCCUUGGUUUUCUCCAUAAUGGCGGUGGUAGAGAGCUGUGAGUGUGAAUACCACACCACUGUGAGUCAAAGUGAAGGGGACCGAAGUCAACGGCCCAGCCAGCAUCUGUCUCUGUCUUCAGGGCUGCAGGUAAAACUGUAGAUUUUUUUUUAAAUAUGUUGACUUGGCAUGUGUUGUUGUGUGUUGCUCCGCUCCAAGCAGAUCUUCGUUUGGAUCAAGUUUCAGGUUUGCUAGAAGGAGGUAGUAUGUGUGGUGUUCUCUCUAUGGUUUUACAGCUCUCUCUUUUUCUAUCUAUUAGUGAUGGGAGAAGAAAAUCAAUACAGUUUCAUAUCUGAAUAUUAUUUUUUACAAAACUGUAUAUCGUAUCGUUUUGACAAUGUCGCAAUAUUAUUUUUGCGC